AACGAACGCUGGCGGCAUGCCUAACACAUGCGAGUCGAACGAUGCUUUCGGGCAUAGUGGCGCACGGGUGCGUAACGCGUGGGAAUCUGCCCUGGGGUUCGGGAUAACAGCGGGAAACUGCUGCUAAUACCGGAUGAUAUCGCGAGAUCAAAGAUUUAUCGCCCUGGGAUGAGCCCGCGUCGGAUUAGGUAGUUGGUGGGGUAAGAGCCUACCAAGCCGACGAUCCGUAGCUGGUCUGAGAGGAUGAUCAGCCACACUGGGACUGAGACACGGCCCAGACUCCUACGGGAGGCAGCAGUGGGGAAUAUUGGACAAUGGGCGCAAGCCUGAUCCAGCAAUGCCGCGUGAGUGAUGAAGGCCUUAGGGUUGUAAAGCUCUUUUACCCGGGAUGAUAAUGACAGUACCGGGAGAAUAAGCCCCGGCUAACUCCGUG
rnacentral:rRNA from 1 species